rnacentral:rRNA from 1 species
UACGGAGGGUGCGAGCGUUGUUCGGAAUCACUGGGCGUAAAGGGCGUGUAUGCGGUCCGCUAAGUCUGAUGUGAAAGCCCGGGGCUCACCCCCGGAAGUGCAUUGGAAACUGGCGAACUCGAGUCCCGGAGAGGAGAGUGGAAUUCCUGGUGUAGCGGUGAAAUGCGUAGAUAUCAGGAGGAAGACCAGUGGCGAAGGCGGGUCUCUGGACAGUUCCUGACACUGAGGCACGAAGGCCAGGGGAGCAAACGGG